rnacentral:rRNA from 1 species
AUUGAACGCUGGCGGCAGGCCUAACACAUGCAAGUCGAGCGGAUGAAGGGAGCUUGCUCCUGGAUUCAGCGGCGGACGGGUGAGUAAUGCCUAGGAAUCUGCCUGGUAGUGGGGGAUAACGUCCGGAUACGGGCGCUAAUACCGCAUACGUCCCGAGGGAGAAAGUGGGGGAUCUUCGGACCUCACGCUAUCAGAUGAGCCUAGGUCGGAUUAGCUAGUUGGUGGGGUAAAGGCCUACCAAGGCGACGAUCCGUAACUGGUCUGAGAGGAUGAUCAGUCACACUGGAACUGAGACACGGUCCAGACUCCUACGGGAGGCAGCAGUGGGGAAUAUUGGACAAUGGGCGAAAGCCUGAUCCAGCCAUGCCGCGUGUGUGAAGAAGGUCUUCGGAUUGUAAAGCACUUUAAGUUGGGAGGAAGGGCAGUAAGUUAAUACCUUGCUGUUUUGACGUUACCAACAGAAUAAGCACCGGCUAACUUCGUG